AUUGAACGCUGGCGGCAUGCCUUACACAUGCAAGUCGAACGGCAGCACGGGAGCAAUCCUGGUGGCGAGUGGCGAACGGGUGAGUAAAGUAUCGGAACGUGCCCAGUCGUGGGGGAUAACGUAGCGAAAGUUACGCUAAUACCGCAUACGAUCUAUGGAUGAAAGCGGGGGAUCGCAAGACCUCGCGCGAUUGGAGCGGCCGAUAUCAGAUUAGGUAGUUGGUGGGGUAAAGGCCCACCAAGCCGACGAUCUGUAGCUGGUCUGAGAGGACGACCAGCCACACUGGGACUGGGCCACGGCCCAGACUCCUACGGGAGGCAGCAGUGGGGAAUUUUGGACAAUGGGCGAAAGCCUGAUCCAGCCAUGCCGCGUGCAGGAUGAAGGCCUUCGGGUUGUAAACUGCUUUUGUACGGAACGAAAAGGACUGCCCUAAUACGGUGGUCCCAUGACGGUACCGUAAGAAUAAGCACCGGCUAACUACGUGCCAGCAGCCGCCGUAA
rnacentral:rRNA from 1 species